rnacentral:rRNA from 1 species
GGCGGCAGGCUAACACAUGCAAGUCGAACGCCCCGCAAGGGGAGUGGCAGACGGGUGAGUAACACGUGGGAACCUUCCCUUUGGUACGGAAUAACCCACCGAAAGGUGGAUUAAUGCCGCAUAAGCCCGUGAGGGGAAAGAUUUAUCGCCAAAGGAUGGGCCCGCGUAGGAUUAGCUAGUUGGUGAGGUAAUGGCUCACCAAGGCGACGAUCCUUAGCUGGUCUGAGAGGACGACCAGCCACACUGGGACUGAGACACGGCCCAGACUCCUACGGGAGGCAGCAGUGGGGAAUAUUGGACAAUGGGCGCAAGCCUGAUCCAGCCAUGCCGCGUGAGUGAUGAAGGCCUUCGGGUUGUAAAGCUCUUUUGGCGGGGACGAUAGUGACGGUACCCGCAGAAUAAGCCCCGGCUAACUUCGUGCCAGCAGCCGCGGUAAUACGAAGGGGGCUAGCGUUGUUCGGAAUCACUGGGCGUAAAGCGCACGUAGGCGGAUCUAUAAGUCAGGGGUGAAAUCCCGGGGCUCAACCUCGGAACUGCCUUUGAUACUGUGGGUCUUGAGUUCGAUAGAGGUGAGUGGAAUUCCUAGUGUAGAGGUGAAAUUCGUAGAUUUUAGGAAGAACACCGGUGGCGAAGGCGGCUCACUGGAUCGAU